rnacentral:rRNA from 1 species
ACUCAAAUGAAUUGACGGGGGCCCGCACAAGCGGUGGAGCAUGUGGUUUAAUUCGACGCAACGCGAAGAACCUUACCUGGGCUCGAACGGCUUCGGACUGCUGGUGGAAACAUUGGCUUUCCCGCAAGGGACCGGAGUCGAGGUGCUGCAUGGCUGUCGUCAGCUCGUGUCGUGAGAUGUUGGGUUAAGUCCCGCAACGAGCGCAACCCUUGUCCUGUGUUGCUAACCGCAAGGUGCACUCUCAGGAGACCGCCAGCGAUAAGUUGGAGGAAGGUGGGGAUGACGUCAAGUCAUCAUGGCCUUUAUGUCCAGGGCUACACACGUGCUACAAUGGACGGUACAAAGCGCCGCCAACUCGUAAGAGGGAGCUAAUCGCAGAAAACCGUUCUCAGUUCGGAUUGCAGGCUGCAACUCGCCUGCAUGAAGCUGGAAUCGCUAGUAAUGGCAUAUCAGAACGAUGCCGUGAAUACGUUCCCGGGCCUUGUACACACCGCCCGU